AUGGCAUCUCGCGACGCCGCCACCUUCCAGCUCUACCGGCCCAUGGCAAUGCCGACGGCCACGCCCAUGUCCCAGACGAUGGCAAUGCCCGGCUUCUCGUCGGCCGAGGCCGCGGACGACGCCGUGGUGGCGGUGCCGGUGCCGGCGCCGAGAAAGGCCGGCGCGGCCAAGGGCGCCAAGGACCGGCACAGCAAGGUGAACGGGCGCGGGCGGCGCGUGCGCAUGCCGAUCGUGUGCGCGGCGCGCGUGUUCCAGCUCACCCGCGAGCUGGGGCUCAAGUCGGACGGGCAGACCGUGGAGUGGCUGCUGCGGCAGGCCGAGCCGUCCAUCCUGGCCGCCACCGGCUCCGGCACCACCCCGGCCGUCUUCUCCUGCUCCUCCGCGCCCUCCACCGCCGCCGUCUCCCUCCUCGGGAAGCGGCCGCGCGAGGAGCACGAGCACGAGGCGGCGCCGUCCUUCUGGGAGGCGCUGCAGGCCCGGCCCGUGCCCUGGGGCCUCUCCCCGUCGCUGGAGGCGCAGGCGUACGCGUCGUCGGUGGCGCAGGGGCACCACCACCACCUGAACCUGCUCUCCGCGCUCUCCGGCGCCUCCAGGCGGCCAGAGGAGGAGUCCCGGUGA
rnacentral:rRNA from 1 species